CACGGAGGAUCCAAGCGUUAUCCGGAUUUAUUGGGUUUAAAGGGUGCGUAGGCGGUUAAUUAAGUUAGAGGUGAAAUCCCGGGGCUCAACCCUGGAACUGCCUCUGAUACUGGUUGGCUAGAGUAUAGUUGCUGUGGGCGGAAUGUAUGGUGUAGCGGUGAAAUGCUUAGAGAUCAUACAGAACACCGAUUGCGAAGGCAGCUCACAAAGCUAUUACUGACGCUGAGGCACGAAAGCGUGGGGAGCAAACAGG
rnacentral:rRNA from 1 species